rnacentral:rRNA from 1 species
GACAGAGGGUGCAAACGUUGUUCGGAAUUACUGGGCGUAAAGCGCGUGUAGGCUGCUCGGAAAGUCGGAUGUGAAAGCCCUAGGCUCAACCUAGGAAGUGCAUUCGAAACUUCUGAGCUUGAGUAUCGGAGAGGGUCGCGGAAUUCUCGGUGUAGAGGUGAAAUUCGUAGAUAUCGAGAGGAACACCGGUGGCGAAGGCGGCGUCCUGGGACAU